GGGCCUGUAGCUCAGAAGAUUAGAGCACAUGGCUACGAACCACAUUGUCGGGGGGUUCGAAUUCCUCCUUACCCA